CGCCAAGCAAUAGCCUCACUUUCACCAAUGAGACCUACAGCCAGAUUGAGGAUUCAAUUAACAGCCUACUCCAUGAUAUUCUUUGUAAACCAGACGGCAAACAGUUUGACUUUCCCAAACCCAACUUCACUACUGUUGGCACUCAAAUCAGGGCAGACGUGAUGUAUGUAUACAAAAAGGAAGACAUCAACCUCCCUAGUGCUUUUCUAGAGGAAGUCUUAAAAGUCUCAGGUCUCCUGCCAACCACUGUUGCCCCAACAACCACCACCACCACUGUGGCUUCUACUACGGCAAUUAAAACUGCAGGUCCUACAACAACAACCACAAUUG